AUAUUAUUGAAAGCAGCUAAAAUGAGUACAUUUUCAUUUAUUUGCAGGUGUAUCGCUCAGGGAAUGUUGUUUUACCGUUCACCAGAAAUAUGUUGAUUGUCAGUGAGGUGCUUGUUUUCAGACACAUUUACAAAAAUAGCACUUCAAAACGAAAGCACAGCAAUAUCAUACAAAGCCAGUCUUUUCACCUUCAUGAGCAUGUACUAACAAAACAGUGGCGCAUAAUUAGGUAAUUAGAGUUGCUCAGUCUGAGAUAGCAGCCUUAAGUGACCGCCACUGCUUGUAAGAAGUCAAAGUGUUUGGGGGGAGGGCCAGUACUUUCAGGGCCAGUGAUAUGUGUGCCACAUUGUGCUGUUCAAUAGAGCCCUCUGAAUUUUUAAACAGCAUCGGUUACCUCCGACAGUCUUUGUUGUGGCACCAUUUGCCUUGCCUAAUCCCGGUAAGUGCAUUUCACAUCACAGCCAUGUCCAAUAGACAUUCAGAUACUUUUACCGAGCAUUUCCUGUUGGUGCAGAGCAUAUAACUUUAACAGUUAUUGUUAAGGAUUUGACCAAAAAGCAUAUUAGAAAGGGGGUGGGAAACAGUCUAUUUCGGCAGAGCUGCUUUAGACGAACAGAAUAUUACAAUAAAUUCCUUGUAAUAUCUUGUGUGUCUGUUUUAGUGGAGUAACCUUGGCAUGUUACAUAAUGAAUAAGCCUUUGUCAAUUUCAUUUAUUAAGGGAGGAAAUGCAUGAUAUUGACACUCCUUGUAAUUGCAUCCCUUUCAUUUAAUCUUAUCAAGCUUCAGUCAUAUCAUAUUACUCUUAAACCAGGCAGUUUUAAUGCAAACAAAUUCACAGUUGCUGACCAAAGGCUAUUGAAAAUAGCAUAUGCUUUCAGAAUUGAAAGGUUACACUCUGAAAGUAUGCAAAGGGUGUAUAAUAUAUAUUUAAAGCGAUUAAAAUCAUUUUACGUAGGAACAUGGCUGUUGCAUUGUUCAUUUGGAUUUUAUAAGGCAAAUACAUAAAUCAAUAGUUAUUCAAUCUGCUCAGACUGAGAACAAAAUAAUUAAGAUUUAGAAUGCUUUUGUGAUGUAAAUUUGUGCAAAUAAAUUUUAAAUGUGACCAAAUCCAUGCCUACACCAUGAAAUCUUUCCCUGCACCCCUCCAAAAAAAAAGCAUGGCUAUUUACAUGAGAAAGAAACACUGAAAUUAAUGAAAUCAGAGGCACAUGAAUCAACAAACUUUAAAAUUCUUAAAUAUUUCCCGAUCUCCUCUGGAUGAAAGAUGACUGGGUUUUUUUUGUGUUUUUUUUGCUCAUUCCUCAACUUGAAGUGAUGGCUGGCUGUGGUCCUCCUGAUCAUGCCCGUGGAGCACACUCCCAGUACAUUAUUAGUGGGGCCUUGUUCUGACAGCACUUCACUUUGCCUGGAUUUAAUCCUUAGCGACAUCCUUAAAUUGGACCCAGGGUGCUCAUAUUUGAAAAUAAAAUCUGGGGAAAAACAUUUGUUUGGACAUGCGGGGCAUUUCAAAACCAGCCUCGUGAGGAUCGUAGGCUUGUUGUGUAUCCCCGACUAAAUACCUUCCCUGGUGGCAGGGAGGUUCAUUGUUGAAUGUUUUUGUGACUUUUUCAUGACCUUUUUUAAUCAGAAAACACCCCUAUGUGCCCUUAAGGCAGAAUGGAAAGGGCCCUAGUUAUGCCCCCUAAAGAGCACCAAAGAGGCACUUGUUCUGUGCAGUGCAGGCAUCCAGCAGUGGAUAAUCCUGUGUCCCUGAAGUGGCUGUGGUGGUCACACUUCAGACAGUGUGUGUGCCUGAAAAUUUUUAAGACAGAAUGUGAAGUCGGCACUAUGCUGUCCUGCGUGUGGAUAACAAUUUAUGGGUUUCCUCACUGCCAAGAGUCUGAUGUAAUAACUUAUAGUAAUUAUUACUGCCACGGUCAUUUAAUUUCUGUGGUUGUCCAUAGUUUCUCUGCAUGUGUACUACAUAUAAGGACAUGGACUCUCUCACUCCAUUCCCUAAAGCAAAUCAUCUUAGAUUUUAAUUAUAAACGCACUGUUUAACAUAUGUAUGUGCUGCAGAUUUAUUUAAUGCAUGUGUAUUUUAUCAACAUGAACAUACCAGCAACUGUAUUUGGUGAAAAAAAAAAAAAAAAAACAUGCAACACAGUAUUUUUGUUUGUGUGGAGCCUUGUAUGUUAUAUGUAUUUUUACAGGGUUCCUGUUUGUUUGUUUCAUUUGUAUUUGGACUGAUGCCAUUCGCUGGAGGAUGAACACCCAUUUUGUGGAAAAGAUGAUGUCCAGUCGACCAGGUCUGCUCCAGGCAAUAAACAAGGUGAAUAACAAUGGAACCAAGAUAGGGUGCAAGUCUGAAAGGGUAAAAAAGUGAAGAAAAAAAAGAUUAAAAAGAGAUAAACUGUGUAAAAUGCAGGUGGAGAAAAAAAUAAAAAAGUGUUUUUUUUGUUUUAUGUGUAGGAUAUUUUGUGCAUAAUAGAAAAACAAACCCGUUUGGAUCACAUUUGUUAAAUGUGGUGUAGUCUCUCUGUCAUUGGAGCUGCCAUCCUAAAAUGUUGCCUACAUUUUGUUUUUUUCACUUCUUUUUUCAAGCUUUAAUGCAGACCAUCGUAUUUCUACAUUUUCCUGAGGCAGUCGGGCCUUUUAAAGAGAUAAACAAAAUAGAGCAGGUCACCUAUACACAGUGUGCUCGUUGAUGCUUUCUGUGUAUGUUUCAAGUAUCAUAGCACAUCCUUUCAAAGCCUCAUCCACAUGCAUUUCAAAACAAGGCGAACAGAUCAUUUAAAAUGAUGGCUUUGCAAAGCCACCUUGCACGAUUAUUACAGUUAAAUCUCCUUCUAUCUCAUGUCAGCCAUGAAAGGUGAUCGAACAUGAAAAGACCUGCUUGAAAUCAAUGCACUGAUCAGAUAUGAAAUGAUACUAAUGCCCUUCAAACUAAAUUUCAUAUACUGAGACACAAAAAAGAAAAAGAAAUCGAUAGCAGCUUGCUAAAGUGGAACAAGAAAUUAAUUGAUUAAUGAUCAUUCUUUUUUUUCAUUCCCAGCAAAGCUGUUGACUAUUGGUAGCUGUACACAUCAAGAUGAUGAGAAUAUAAUAGUGCCUUAAAAAAUAACAGACCACAAACAAUUAGACAGCUCUAUGCUUUUGCAUUCAUUUCUGUUCCCUUUACAGUACCUGGGCACCAUAAUUCUUUUUAGUGGUCAAGAAAAUGAAAAUCCAGAGGUCUGUUUGCGUUUAUAAAAGUAAUCCAUUACAAGUACGAGCCAUUUGUACGAGCUUCCUCUUUUAUCAUGUCAAUUUACAGCUUUAAUAACCAGGGCCCCUGUUAUAAAUUUGUCUUACAAAUGGAAGAAAAAGGGAAACGCUAAUAAUGUCCCAUCAAUGCAAAUAUCAUUUAAACAAUGUAGUAAAAUAGGCCGCAUGUCGGAAUGAAAUUAUUUUAACACCAAGGGCACAAAACACUAUUGAACUGCCUUUUUUUCUGCAUUUCCUGGAGCUAAUGAAUUAUCACCCCAAACAAAACAGUGCAAUUAAUUGAGGAAGUAAUGAAUUUUGCCAGACUGCAAUAGGACUUUGUUUACUAGAAUUUGUUUGCUGGUUAUCAAGUCCACUUCCUAAAUAAUUGCCCUGUGUACUUUUCUCGAAAACGUUCAUGUAUGGACGUGCGUAGCGCAUGCACAUGCUCUUGAUGUUUGUACAGUUGUGCGACAGUGUGGGAAUGUAGUUUGUACACUGACAUGUUUGUGCCUAUGUUCUGUGAUUGUUUCAUUAAAAUAUAAGAGUAAUACAGACAAA